rnacentral:pre_miRNA from 1 species
UCUCGGGUUUCGCGAUGCAAUUUUUGGGUUUCUCAGGUUUCGCGAUGCAGAAAUUGCGAAACCCGAGAAACCAAGAAUUGCAUCGCGAAACCCGAGAAACC